ensembl:snRNA U6 U6 spliceosomal RNA
GUGCUCGCUUCGGCAGCACAUAUACUAAAAUUGGAAUGAUACAGAGAAGAUUAGCAUGGCCCCUGCGCAAGGAUGACAUGCAAAAUGGUGGUACAUGCCUGGUACCC